UGGGGAAUAUUGGACAAUGGGGGGAACCCUGAUCCAGCCAUGCCGCGUGUGUGAAGAAGGCCUUUUGGUUGUAAAGCACUUUAAGCGAGGAGGAGGCUUACCUGGUUAAUACCUGGGAUAAGUGGACGUUACUCGCAGAAUAAGCACCGGCUAACUCUGUGCCAGCAGCCGCGGUAAUACAGAGGGUGCAAGCGUUAAUCGGAUUUACUGGGCGUAAAGCGCGCGUAGGUGGCUAAUUAAGUCAAAUGUGAAAUCCCCGAGCUUAACUUGGGAAUUGCAUUCGAUACUGGUUAGCUAGAGUAUGGGAGAGGAUGGUAGAAUUCCAGGUGUAGCGGUGAAAUGCGUAGAGAUCUGGAGGAAUACCGAUGGCGAAGGCAGCCAUCUGGCCUAAUACUGACACUGAGGUGCGAAAGCAUGGGGAGCAAACAGG
rnacentral:rRNA from 1 species